rnacentral:rRNA from 1 species
GAUGAACGCUGGCGGCGUGCCUAAUACAUGCAAGUCGAGCGAACGGACGAGAAGCUUGCUUCUCUGAUGUUAGCGGCGGACGGGUGAGUAACACGUGGAUAACCUACCUAUAAGACUGGGAUAACUUCGGGAAACCGGAGCUAAUACCGGAUAAUAUUUUGAACCGCAUGGUUCAAAAGUGAAAGACGGUCUUGCUGUCACUUAUAGAUGGAUCCGCGCUGCAUUAGCUAGUUGGUAAGGUAACGGCUUACCAAGGCAACGAUGCAUAGCCGACCUGAGAGGGUGAUCGGCCACACUGGGACUGAGACACGGUCCAGACUCCUACGGGAGGCAGCAGUAGGGAAUCUUCCGCAAUGGGCGAAAGCCUGACGGAGCAACGCCGCGUGAGUGAUGAAGGUCUUCGGAUCGUAAAACUCUGUUAUUAGGGAAGAACAUAUGUGUAAGUAACUGUGCACAUCUUGACGGUACCUAAUCAGAAAGCCACGGCUAACUACGUGCCAGCAGCCGCGGUAAUACGUAGGUGGCAAGCGUUAUCCGGAAUUAUUGGGCGUAAAGCGCGCGUAGGCGGUUUUUUAAGUCUGAUGUGAAAGCCCACGGCUCAACCGUGGAGGGUCAUUGGAAACUGGAAAACUUGAGUGCAGAAGAGGAAAGUGGAAUUCCAUGUGUAGCGGUGAAAUGCGCAGAGAUAUGGAGGAACACCAGUGGCGAAGGCGACUUUCUGGUCUGUAACUGACGCUGAUGUGCGAAAGCGUGGGGAUCAAACAGGAUUAGAUACCCUGGUAGUCCACGCCGUAAACGAUGAGUGCUAAGUGUUAGGGGGUUUCCGCCCCUUAGUGCUGCAGCUAACGCAUUAAGCACUCCGCCUGGGGAGUACGACCGCAAGGUUGAAACUCAAAGGAAUUGACGGGGACCCGCACAAGCGGUGGAGCAUGUGGUUUAAUUCGAAGCAACGCGAAGAACCUUACCAGAUCUUGACAUCCUUUGACAACUCUAGAGAUAGAGCCUUCCCCUUCGGGGGACAAAGUGACAGGUGGUGCAUGGUUGUCGUCAGCUCGUGUCGUGAGAUGUUGGGUUAAGUCCUGCAACGAGCGCAACCCUUAAGCUUAGUUGCCAUCAUUAAGUUGGGCACUCUAAGUUGACUGCCGGUGACAAACCGGAGGAGGGUGGGGAUGACGUCAAAUCAUCAUGCCCCUUAUGAUUUGGGCUACACACGUGCUACAAUGGACAAUACAAAGGGCAGCGAAACCGCGAGGUCAAGCAAAUCCCAUAAAGUUGUUCUCAGUUCGGAUUGUAGUCUGCAACUCGACUACAUGAAGCUGGAAUCGCUAGUAAUCGUAGAUCAGCAUGCUACGGUGAAUACGUUCCCGGGUCU